rnacentral:rRNA from 1 species
UACGAAGGGGGCGAGCGUUGUUCGGAAUUACUGGGCGUAAAGGGCGCGUAGGCGGCCAUUCAAGUCAGGCGUGAAAGCCCCGGGCUCAACCUGGGAAUGGCGCUUGGGACUGGGUGGCUGGAGUUCGGGAGAGGAGCGUGGAAUUCCCAGUGUAGAGGUGAAAUUCGUAGAUAUUAGGAAGAACACCGGUGGCGAAGGCGGCCCACUGGUCCGGUACUGACGCUGAGGUGCGAAAGCGUGGGGAGCGAACAGG